GACAGAGGUGCCGAGCGUUAGGCGGAAUCACUGGGCUUAAAGCGUGUGUAGGCGGAUGCCUAAGUACCUUGUGAAAUCCCACGGCUUAACCGUGGAACUGCUUGGUAUACUGGGUGUCUUGAGCCACUUAGGGGCGACCGGAACAAACGGUGGAGCGGUGAAAUGCGUAGAUAUCGUUUGGAACGCCAAUGGUGAAAACAGACUGCUGGGGUUGCGCCGACGCUGAGACACGAAAGCCAGGGGAGCAAACGGG
rnacentral:rRNA from 1 species